ensembl:lncRNA
AUUUAACCAAAUAAAAAUGCAGACAUAAGUGUACACAUAUUUAAAGAACUUAUUUUAACAUUGCACUCAACAACAAACAAAUCCUCCCUAACAAAAAAGUAACUUCAAGGGCCAAAUUGCAUUAUAUUUCUUCACGUCAACAUACAAGUAGGGGUGACUUGGGCUGCAAGUUGUCCCUGGGCUGCAAGUUUGAGACCCCUGCUUUAAACAAUACAGAGGCGGACCGUUUGUGUAUAUAUGGAUACUAAAUCACGUAUCAGCUGCCAGGCCAAACAGAGCAAACUUCUUGCUCAGGCUUAGCUGUCCCAGUCCCAUCACCCCAUGCCCACACUCCUGACACUGAACCAGCCACACUGAUAUCUGAAGAAGCAGGCAAGUUCUUUGAUGUCAAAGAAAUGUCUUAUUUCAGGAGGCCCCUUGGGAAAGUUAUCUUUUUCUACACACUAUUUUAUUUGUAAUAAUACUAAUAAUAUAUUAUAAUUAUAACCCACAUAUACAACACCUUUGGAGAAGUAUGUUCUUUGUAUAUUUUGACUGUUGCAGGUGAUGAGACCUUUUAGUAAACUAUAACUGAUUAAAACCUACUUGAGUUCCACCAGGCCUCAGGACAGAGACACAGUUCAGCUGGCUAUAAUUUGUUUCAAAAUUAAUAUUGAAAGGAUUUAUUUAAGUUCUAUUUGCCAAUAUUUAAUAUUAUUAGAAAAUAUGUAAGGAGUAAAAAAUAUUAGUAUUACACCACUUUAUAGAGAAUUUAGAUUUAGUUUCAGCCGUAAAGCUGAUGUAUAUUUAAUUGUUAGGUACCAAUCAAUGAAAAAACGAAAAAACAAAAAAAACAAAACAAAAAAACAAAGCAAAAAAACCAAAUGAACCCCUAAUGAUGUCAUCAUUCAGAAUAUUGAAAUGUAAAACAUGGUUUCAACAAUACAACUUUCCCCAAAUUAAAAAAAUCUCUGUAUCGAAGCAGAAUAUUAUCCAUAUAACAGUGUUGUAUUAUUUUAUCACGGUUUGCAAUAUUAAAGUGGAGUGGCCCAAAGUCUUUUUUUUUUUUUUCAUGGGAACCCAAAUUCCUGGUGGCACCCCUGAGACACACACACACACGCACACACACUGAGAGUGAAGCGAGAGAGAGAGAAACACAGUAACAGUGACAGGCUUAAUGUGGUCAAUUCAGGAUCCACUGAGAUGAUUGAUGUGGAAGAUAAAGAUUGCUGCCAGAGCUUUCCAUAUGACACACAGGUAAGAGGCUCAGCAGCCACAGUCAGAUCCCAAAGGCAGCUUUAUCAUGCUGUUAUAUAACACACACACACACACACACACACACUGAUGUGGCCGAUGUAAGGGCGCAGCCACACUGCCAUCGUCAGCACUGGCCAGAUCAGAUUUAACACCCAACCCCCUCGCACACACGGCCAAUCUACCCUCCUCCUUGAGUUCCCUUUAGUGAUCCAUGGUAACACUUCUGUGUGUGUGUGUAUGUACACGUGUGUGUGCGUCUUUCAUUUGUGUGACCUGCUGAGGCCAGGCAGGUUACUGAGUGUCAGUGUAGUGAUGUAAUCUAGAGUCUAUUGUAAUGUGCGAACAACAGAUGUAAUAACGGACUCGUUCUCAAAGAUGGACUCACAACAGAACCAAUGAACACUGUCUGUUUAUGCCAUAUAAUAAAUAUUGUAUGACACGUACAUGCAAAUGCAACCGUUUGUUUGUAUUUUAAUGCUGUUGUCUGUGAACUGAUGCAAUGCUUU